AACGAACGCUGGCGGCAGGCCUAACACAUGCAAGUCGAGCGAGGACUUCGGUCCUAGCGGCGGACGGGUGAGUAACGCGUGGGAACGUGCCCUUUGCUUCGGAAUAGCCCUGGGAAACUGGGAGUAAUACCGGAUGAGCCCUUUGGGGGAAAGAUUUAUCGGCGAAGGAUCGGCCCGCGUUGGAUUAGGUGGUUGGUGGGGUAAUGGCCUACCAAGCCGACGAUCCAUAGCUGGUUUGAGAGGAUGAUCAGCCACACUGGGACUGAGACACGGACCAGACUCCGACGGGAGGGAGCAGUGGGGAAUCUUAGACAAUGGGGGAAGCCCUGAUCUAGCCAUGCGGGGGAAGAGGUGAAGGCGGUAGGGUUGUAAAGCUCUUUGAGCUGGGAAGAUAAUGACGGUACCGGCAGAAGAAGCCCCGGCUAACUCCGUG
rnacentral:rRNA from 1 species